CCCUCUGGGCGUAAAGUCCCCUGCAAGGAGUGAGAGUGCGGCCGGCCCUGGAAAUCAGCAAAUCUGUACUCUGUGAGAGAUCCUGCGAGAGGAAACUGGGAGCCAGGGAGAACUAAAAUUACCUUUUCAAAGUAAAUUGUUUAUUGAGCAGCAGAGCUGGAAUGAGAGGCGAUGUUUGUCGUUUUUGACACUCCCCCUUCUUUCUGGACCAUCCAUCGCCUAAAUACUGUGGAACAAACGGAAUGCGUGGUUGUAUUUCUAAAAGCGCAAGCAGAAAAUUUAUUGAAAACUUGGAGCAGAAAUCUUUAAUGUACUUCUGACCACUCUUCCUUUUGUUGAGUAGGAUCCAAUGAUUGGCAUGAAACUAGUUAUUAAACUUGCUUGAGAUGGCUAGUCAAACGUCGGAAAUAAAAGAAAAUGUCAGUAGCUAGACUUUUACAAUUUUUUUUAAAAGGUAAAAGACGUGAACCGUUGUCUGCCUUAAUGUCAAGGUAGCACUUAUUAUGUUCUCUGACAAAACCAAGGAAUACGAAAAUCUUUUAUCAAAACAAC